CAAUAGCGUAUAUUAAAGUUGUUGCAGUUAAAAAGCUCGUAGUUGGAUUUGUGGCGUACGGUGUGUUCCGGGCACUUGUUGUCUGAGUAACCUGCUGUUGCCAUCCUUGGGUGGGACCUGUGUGGCAUUAGGUUGUCGUGCAGGGGAUGCCCAUCAUUUACUGUGAAAAAAUUAGAGUGUUCAAAGCAGGCUUAUGCCGUUGAAUAUAUUAGCAUGGAAUAAUGAGAUAGGACUUUUUUGCUAUUUUGUUGGUUUGCGCAAAGAGGUAAUGAUUAAUAGGGACAGUUGGGGGUAUUCGUAUUCCAUUGUCAGAGGUGAAAUUCUUGGAUUUUUGGAAGACGAACUACUGCGAAAGCAUUUACCAAGGAUGUUUUCAUUAA
rnacentral:rRNA from 1 species